rnacentral:rRNA from 1 species
UACAGAGGUCUCAAGCGUUGUUCGGAUUCAUUGGGCGUAAAGGGUGCGUAGGUGGCAGGGUAAGUCGGAUGUUAAAUCCCCAGGCUCAACCUGGGACACCACCCGAUGCUGCUUUGGCUAGAGUCCGGUAGGGGAGCAUGGAAUUCCUGGUGUAGCGGUGAAAUGCGCAGAUAUCAGGAGGAACACCAGCGGCGAAGGCGGUGCUCUGGGCCGGUACUGACACUGAGGAGCGAAAGCGUGGGUAGCAAACAGG